AGUGAUCGACAAACGAAGUGUACAACCCAGUUCAGUUUCAACAGAGACCAUAUAUUUUUUGGUGUAGUGUCUGGUUUCAGCAGCAACAGUCUGGGUUACAGAUACAUGUGUUAGAUACAGAUAAUCCAGAUUAAACCAUGGACCCUCUUGUAUGUAAUAGUGAGGUUCAUGUGUCGUGUGGUGUGAGACGAACGUGUUCACCUGGGUGACUUGACAGAUGAAUAAACAAUCAGCAACAAUAUCCCCCUCAUGCAAGAAUACUGUAUAGAUCUAGAAGCUCGUCGUGUUUUCUGGGAGAUCCUUUCAAAACCUAUGUCUGAAGUAAUCAACAAGGAAGGAAUUUAUUGCGUCUCCCUGGAGGAUGAAUAUGUUUAAUGGACUUCCAGAGAACUUGCCAGAACGCAAUAUCGACACAGUUCUUUAUCGUCAGUGUAUGUUUUCGAACGGCAGUGUUCACUUGAACACUAAAACGUGGUGUGUUGCGUAGUACAGACAUUGUAAAGACUCAGAUGAUAGCUUGGGGUUGAGAUGAACUUGUCUUUUAUGAGUUAGUGAGAUGUUUUACAGUUGUUAAUGUGAUGCCCCAAAAGCAAGGGGUGAAAGGGACAUGUAUGCUUGAUGUCGAGAUUAUAGAAGGAUAGACUCUGUUAGUGUAAUUCAGUGCGUGGUGUCGACAUGAAUAUUUGAAUUUUCCAUUGGAAAAUGUACGUGCCUUGAAAAACAAUAAACCCAUUUUGGAAGAGCUUUAUGUAUGGA